GGACACAAUCGUGGCUGCAGCCACAGGCUUUGGGGCUGACGAGAGAUCUGUGUCUUGUAGGGGCAGAGGCGGUGUCAUAGCGGAGUCCUGGGGUAAGGUGAGGCCCUCUUCAGCCUGCUGGGACACAAGCGUGGCUGCAGCCACAGGCUUUGGGGCUGACGAGAGUUCUGUGUCUUGUAGGGGCAGAGGCGGUGUCAUAACGGAGUCCUGGGGUAAGGUGAGGUCCUCUUUAGCCUGCCUGGGGACAAUCGUGGCUGCAGCUACAGGCUUUCUGCCAGAGGGGAGGUCCAGCCCUCCUUCUUCCUUCAAGUUCUG
rnacentral:lncRNA from 1 species